rnacentral:rRNA from 1 species
GACGAACGCUGGCGGCGUGCUUAACACAUGCAAGUCGAACGGAAAGGCCCUGCUUUUGUGGGGUGCUCGAGUGGCGAACGGGUGAGUAACACGUGAGUAACCUGCCCUUGACUUUGGGAUAACUUAAGGAAACUGGGGCUAAUACCGGAUAGGAGCCCCUGCUGCAUGGUGGGGGUUGGAAAGUUUCGGCGGUUGGGGAUGGACUCGCGGCUUAUCGGCUUGUUGGUGGGGUAGUGGCUUACCAAGGCUUUGACGGGUAGCCGGCCUGAGAGGGUGACCGGCCACAUUGGGACUGAGAUACGGCCCAGACUCCUACGGGAGGCAGCAGUGGGGAAUAUUGCACAAUGGGCGGAAGCCUGAUGCAGCAACGCCGCGUGCGGGAUGACGGCCUUCGGGUUGUAAACCGCUUUCGCCUGUGACGAAGCGUGAGUGACGGUAAUGGGUAAAGAAGCACCGGCUAACUACGUG